rnacentral:lncRNA from 1 species
AUUGCAUACAUGUUGUAAUGCUUAAGAUUUUUACAGCUACAACAAUGGAACUGUCCAAGCCCUUGGGAAGCCACUCCUUGCACCAGUGUGCCCUGGAUACAGGACAUGAAGUUAAGUCUUGUGAUGUGCUGAUUCCCACUUGAACUUCCACCAUGAUUGUAAGCAUCCUGAGACCCUCACUAGAAGCUGAUUACUACACUAUGCUUCAUGUGUAGCCUGCAGAAAUGUGAGCCAAAAUAAAACUGCUUUUCUUUAUUGGUGACCCUGUCUCAUGUAUUUAUUUAUAGCAACAGAAGGGC